rnacentral:rRNA from 1 species
ACCUAUACCCCGAAGGCCGCGCUCUUGCAGUGUGCGCUGGACGGGUGCUUUUAUUAGACCAAACCGCUGAGGGCGUGUUAGCCUCUCGGGGCGCACGCUUGACUCGCAUGAUGGUGACUCUGGAUAACCUUUGACAAGCGCACGUACCACUCUUUUGAGCGGACGGCGCUGCCACUUUUCGAGUGUCUGCCUUAUCAGCUAUCAACCGUUCGUUACGUGCGACCGAUGGCUUUGACGGGUAACGGGGAAUCAGGGUUCGAUUCCGGAGAGGCAGCCUGAGAGACGGCUACCACGUCCAAGGACGGCAGCAGGCGCGCAAAUUACCCAAUCCCAGCUCCUGGGGGAGGUAGUGACGAAAUCUAACGAUGCGGGCGCCCUUUCUAGGGCCCCG